rnacentral:lncRNA from 1 species
GAUAGCAGCAAGCUUCUUUGGCGUUAAACAACUUAGAUAUUCUGAUAAAGCAUCUACGUGACUCAGGGGAAGGAUGAUGUCAAGCUGUUGUCAAGCCAAUUGCAUGGAAAGAGAAGAAUUAACGUGUUCUCCCUUCAAAAUGAUGGAUUCCAUGGCUCCACAUUCAUCAUCUGGCUCAUGAUUACCAACUCUUUGCAGUCCAUUGCAGGGUGACCUCGUUAGCACUAUCUGUGCACUUUCUGUGAUAGCGGGCUGCCUGGAGGCCCUGCAUGUGUGGUUCGGGUUAAUGAGGGUCUGAGUCAUCAAGUUAGAAACUCACCUUUCCAGCCAUCAGAUCCAGAAAUGCUAGAAAAAGGCACAGGGCUCAUAAUCAGACAUGCCAUGUUGACGAAAGAGUAAUGUCUCAUCCUGGUGAGAUCGUCCACAGGACCUGUGCUGAAUAAUUGUCAGGCAGCCAUGAGACCACAGUAAGCUCCCAUACUAUCUAGAGGUCAAUUUAUCAUCCAAGAUGGCCUGCUUUGCAGAUUGCUGCAUGCAUACCCUCUGCAGCACCAGGUAGCAGGCAGCAGGAGAGGUAGCCCCACAAUAACACAGCAUGUGUCCCUAGAGCAUCUUCUUAUUGAAAUGGGAGA